rnacentral:rRNA from 1 species
ACGGACUUAACCGAAUAUUUAUAUUUUGGAGCGGUUAGUGGCGGACUGGUGAGUAACGCGUAAGCAAUCUGCCUAUUAGAGGGGAAUAACAGUGAGAAAUCACUGCUAAUACCGCAUAUGCCAUGAACAUCGCAUGAUGAAAAUGGGAAAGGAGUAAUCCGCUAAUAGAUGAGCUUGCGUCUGAUUAACUAGUUGGUGUGGUAAUGGCAUACCAAGGUAACGAUCAGUAGCCGGACUGAGAGGUUGAACGGCCACAUUGGGACUGAGAUACGGCCCAGACUCCUACGGGAGGCAGCAGUCGGGAAUAUUGCGCAAUGGAGGAAACUCUGACGCAGUGACGCCGCGUAUAGGAUGAAGGUUUUCGGAUUGUAAACUAUUGUCAUUAGGGAAGAUAAAAGACAGUACCUAAGGAGGAAGCUCCGGCUAACUACGUGCCAGCAGCCGCGGUAAUACGUAGGGAGCAAGCGUUAUCCGGAUUUAUUGGGUGUAAAGGGUGCGUAGACGGGAGAUUAAGUUAGUUGUGAAAGCCCUUGGCUUAACUGAGGAAUUGCAACUAAAACUGGUUUUCUUGAGUGCAGGAGAGGUAAGUGGAAUUCCUAGUGUAGCGGUGAA